UCGCGAUGAAGAGCACUUUCGAUACGGCAUCCGGGAGUUUCCAAAUGUAAAGGAGUCAUAGGCCUACAUUGAAGCCCUCUGCUUGCGCCUCCAUUUUCAUUUUAGAGGGUUAUGGUGGAGGGGUUACCGACCGACCAUCAUCAACGUUGGUGACUUGAGUCAAGCAAAGCGACUGAACGGAGGAGGCGACACGAGUCAAUGCACUGGAGCCUGAGGAUGACAUCUUCAUCCCUUCAUCCCAUAUUUUGGUGUGUAUUUAAUCUGCAUCUUAAGUUCUUAAAGUGCCAAUCAGCAGUAGAAACAAUAAAAAAGUGUCUCCCUGCUUCUCUUUCGGUAAAAAGCUGAGGGAUGGGGCUGGAGAAAUGUAACCCCUCUCAAAUUAAUUUACAGAGCUAUAGAUGCAAGGACUGACCAUCCAUGACAUCAAAAUUGUAAUCCUGUUUCUAUGAUCUGUAUUUACUACCAUGUAACCCAGUUUGCUUUGGAUGAAGGCAUCUGCUAAAUGGUGUAUAUUACUAAAGUCUCCUUUGCUGCCCAGUGUAGUUACCAUUCCUUUCCACUAGAUGGCAGCCAAAGCUAGUUGAAGUCACUACUCUGGCAACAGGGACACAGGAUUAGCGCUUGUUGAAAGUAGUUUUGUCUUCAAUGCAAGUUUCUGGUUACGCUUGAACCUGUUGUUAUAGUGGACAAACUAACUAAUACUAUUUUUGCAUAAGGCGCAGGCAUUAGGUCUAUGUCUUCAAAAAUUACAGCAGGCUAGAUUUACUGAAUGAACUGGUUCUAUUCAAACUCCAACCCUAUGUAAAUGCCUUUGCAUCUGGGUAUGUGUUCCUUAAGGAAUAAACGACACACGCAGGGAUGAGACGCCAUACACCUCGUCCAAUUCUCCCUUGUGCCCAUGGGGUGAACUGGCAAUAAACUGCCAGCCUGUAUGCUCUGUAAACAAAAUCAUAAGAAAAGUUAGUCUGAUACCGAAACUAAAUCAUUGUAUUUAUAAUGAACAAGCCCCAUUAUUGGUUAGAAUGAGAUUUCAUGAGAGCACGUGAUGCCGCGGAGCUGAGCAGACGUUGAAAAACCGAGUUCUUCAAAGUUAUCCUAUUAUUACCUAAAUAACAAAGUUGAAACAAUAUUCUAACAUCGGCUGAUAAACUGUCAAGUAUUUACCUUCCCAAAGAGCCAUGGACCUGUGGCCGAGAGGCAAGAAGGAUGACCAAAACUUGGUUGAUUCCCAAGAUAAUGAUAACACCACAGCUAGCAAGAUUAGCAUUAGCCCUCAUAACUCAGACGACAGUUCCAGACUGUUGCUCUCAGCAGCCUCUUCUGAGCCUGCCGACAUGCUUGCUACUCUCCUCCGGGAAAUUCAAGAUGGUAACAAAGGUCUUUCUCUCAAAAUUGACAAGAAAUCGGCUGAACUCCAUUCUUCCAUUGACGACCUGAAAUCCUCCCUGAAUGAUCUCCCGGCCUUCCCUGUGGCUCAGUUGGUAGAGCAUGGUGUGUGCAACGCCAGGGUUGUGAGUUUGAUUCCCAAGGGGGGCCAGUACAAAAAAAAUGCAUGAAAUGAAAUGGAUGCAUUCACUACUGUAAGUCGCUCUGGAUAAGAGCGUCUGGUAAAUGUAAAAAUCUCCUUUUGAGAACGACUAAGGCUGAGUUACGCAUUAGCACAGUUGAAGAUAACGUCACUAGACAUGACCAGGUUCUGAUAGAGCUGCAAAAGGACAAUGCCUACCUCAACAACAAGGUAGACCAGAUGGAGAACCAGAGCAGACGUAGUAAUAUCUGUGUGGUGGGAUUGAAAGAGGACAGCGAGGGCCGUGACCCGUCCAAUUCUUCACUCAAUGGAUCCCUGAUGCCCUAAGCAUAAUCAACUUCACCAAGCCGCUAAAAAUCGAAUGCGCCCACAGAACAUCAGCACCAAAACCCUGGCCAGAUGAGCCCCCACGAGCCGUCCUGAUCAGGUUCCUCCGUUUCUAGGACAGGGAGAAGCUCCUGCGACUCGCAAGAGCCAAAGGGGAAAUCACCAUCGAUGGUUAGAGGGUCAGCCUUUUCCCGGAUACGAGCGCGGAUCUCGCCAGACGUCCAAGCAGUUCAGACCAGCCGCCAAAGGAAGGAGAAGAACAUCACCGGCUACCUCAUCCACCCUGCGCGGAUGAAAGUUCAGUACAAUGGCCGAAACCAUCUCUUCGACACACCAGGAGAAGUGUUCACUUUUCUCAAAGAACUGAACUGUGUUUGAUCCACAAUGGUCUUUCUGUGGGAUAAGACGCAGUUUAUUGGUUUUUUCUUAUUAUUCUUACUGUCCUGGGACUGAACUGCUGAUGUCUUCUUGGAGUUUGAAUCCGUUUACCCUGCUCUCCGGUUGCUACAGUUGAUUUGUACAUUUUCAACUAACAGUUUUUUCCCCGUGGUGUGUUCUAUUACAUUUACAGGAGAGUAUAUUUUGGUUUUGUCAAUAUCCACAAGAAGAAGCAAAUUAGUAGGCUUAGGCCCACUGCUUUUUCCCCCUUUUAUGUUUCUCCUCUCCUGAAAAGAGACUCAAGCAGCCCUUAAUGUGGACAAUAAAUAUUCAGCCAUAAAUGUCUAUUUACAAUGCUUGUUUUCAACAUAGAGAGCUCGUAGGUUUUAGUUUACGCCAAGGUUUAGCUAGUAAGAGCAAGAUGGAAAGCGUGCAACAACGUAUCUCUACAAGUGUUUUCAUGUUGAUUGUUGGGAUUGUGGUUUUAGUCCGACAAUCAGGGUGGGUGAGGUUUCUGUUUCUAUGUUUAUUGUUGUUUCCUUCCUAAAGAGACACACUGAAGUUCAAACAUUUCCUGACUUUUUACAUAUGAGGGAUUAAUCCACUAAAAUAUGUCACAUUUAACGUAAAAGGUCUUAACAGCCCGAUUAAGAGGAAAAUACCUUAAGAAAUUAAAGGCUGACACUGUGUUUUUACAAGAAACCCAUCUUACAGCCAGUGAACACCAGAAACUGAAGAGGGAAUGGGUAGGACAAGCUGUUGCGUCCUCUUUUAACUCCAAAGCAAGAGGAACUGCAUUUUGAUAAGUGGAUACAUCCCCUUCUGCGUCAACAACACCAUCUCUGAUCCCUCAGGCAGGUUUGUUUUGGUGCAGGGGAAUAUGUUUUCGGAGUCUUGCACCCUAUUGAAUGAUUUAUGCUCCUAACUUCGAUGACCAUAUGUUUAUUCAGAAUGUCUUCCUUCAGGUCUCUCAAGCACCACCAGGAUGGAUACUGGCUGGAGGAGAUUUUAAUUUUUGUUUAGAUACAGUUCUUGAUAGGUCCUCUGAUAAACCUUCCCUUCUUACCAAAGCUGGCAAGCUCACCAUGUCAUUCAUGAGGAUCUCAAUUUACUAGACAUCUGGAGACAGAUGCACCCACAGUUUAAGCACUACUAUUUUUAUUCACACCCACACAACACACACACGCAUAGUUAACUUUUUACUGUUGACCCAACUGUUUCAUAGAGUGUUAGAUACCGAUUAUCUCCCCAGAUUGCUUAGUGACCAUUCUCCUCUGGUAUUAUCAAUCUCCAUUCCUACCAAGGUAAAUGGAGCAUAUAGAUGGAGACUAAAUCCUACACUCCUGAAGCAACCUGAAUUUUGUGCAUUCAUCAAAGAGCAGACCAAUAUUUUUACUUUGACAAACAAACCCUCUGCUCCUGACAGUUUCAUUCUUUGGGAUGCAUUGAAAGCCUAUCUGAGGGGACAGAUCAUUUCCUAUACUAAAGGUUUGAAGAGAAAACACGGUGAGGAACUGAAUGUCCUUGAAUCUGAAAUCUCUGAGCUAGAGAAAACCUACCAAAGAGAUACAGACUUUUGGUAAAUAAAAAACUGAAAUAUAAUACUCUGAACACAUAUCAGGCUGAGAGGGCCAUCACUAAAUCAAAAUACCAUUACUACAAGCUUGGAGAGAAAGCACACAAAGUAUUGGCAUGGCAACUGAAAGCAGAGGAAAGUUAGAGGACAAUCAAUGCUAUAGAAACUCUUACUAAUGGGAUAUCUUUCAACCCUACUGAAAUGAAUGAUAUUUAUAAGAAAUAUUACGAAGAACUCUACACUUCCCAAUCAAGCGAUGAUCUAUCAGAGAUUGACUCUUUUCUCUCCUCUCUCAACCUCUCAUGCCUGUCAGAGGAAAACAGAGAGUGCCUGAGUAAACAGUUCUCAGUCCCUGAAUUGCUGGAGGCUAUUCAAUCCUUACCUUCUAAUAAAUCUCCUGGGGAGGAUGGCUUCCCUCCGGAGUUCUAUAAAGAAUUUAGGGAGCUGUUGGUCCCUUACCUUAUGGAGGUAGUUAAAAAAGCUGGGGAGGACAACUGCUUUCCAGAGUGUCUCUCAAGCGGUGAUUACAA